AAGGUAUGUCGUGAAUUCAUUUUAAUUGACGUUGUAAUUUAUUGAUUUAGUGGAACUCGUUUAUAUGCUUAUAUGACAAAUUAUAUUUCAAGGCCUACACUCUUAGCAACUUGGUAAAUAAUUCUUAAUAAGCGUCUUUACCGAGCUCUUGGUAAUUACGCGUCCUACAAAAAUUAUACGGGGUUAUUACCGUAUCAAUACCAAACGGGUAACUGGCCCUCCACCGCAAUGUUCUAAGUUAUCUUUAUAAUUUUGGUAAUAAACUCCUACGAGCCGGUAAUUAUAUCCUACAAAUUUAGAUAACACUCUUUACCAUAAUUUUAGUAAAGUGCAGAACAAAUUGUUUCCGUUGUGGUGCUAAUGAGAUCUACAUUUCGGUGUAGUUUAUUACCAUGGAGUUUUAGUUUCCGCUCAGCUCAAAUCAAGUCAACAUGGCGAAAUUAUCCAGUGUCCAGUGUUGCCCGUGGGAAAAAACUGAUAAAAACUUCUGGAAAUUACAUUUUUGGAAAUAGUGAAACAAUAAUUUGAGUUGGAAAUCGGAGCAGAGAUUUUUCUGCAAGACGACCAGUGACCAGGGGGAUGAGAUCGACAUUAAUGUUUAUUUAAAGUUAAAUACUCGGAUCCAAUGUUUAGUAUUGCUAACGCGUAAGAUUGAUAUACAUAUGCAUUCGUUUGCUUUGAGAUAAUGCAAAAUUGUAAAACAGUCGGUAAUUAUAUAAGUGUACGGCAAAAACUCUGAAAUAUUUAGUUCGAUUUAAGUUUCAGGUAAAUAUGUAUAUAUGUGUAUGUAUGUGGUAACUAGAUAGUUUGCAUUAUACUUAA